CUUAUUUAGGGAGAUUAUCAGGAGGAAUGAGGUUGUGCCUGUGAUUGUAGUGACGAAAGUUAGUAAAGUUUUGAUAUCUGCACUGAUAGAUGUUGCUGAGGAACACCUCAGCAGAGCGAUGUGAUACUGAACCCGCCUCCUGGGGAGAAGGUCCCUUAGUAAUAUCUACUGCCUUGGGGUCGCCUCCAUCGAAGAAAUCAAGUGUGGAGGGCAAGAUCAUUCAGGAGGAUGUGCCAAGAACUGUUGUAGUCAGAGGAGAUGAUGUUAAGAUAAAGACGAUUACAGUGGAAGACAAGUCCGGGAAGGCAAAAGUUUCACUAUGAAGGACAGCCGCAGACACAACAGCCAGGCCUGGGGAUUAUGUCCUUAUAACUGACGUUGUUAUUAACAACUAUAACAACAACUCGACACGGACAACAACAGGCAGCUUGAAAGUUGAGCCUUGUGAUUCUCCAGUUGUUAAAAGGACUAUGUGUGGAGGCGGUUGGUGUGGAGGAUGGGAUAGCAGAACUAUUCACUGGUGAAGAUGAUUCUUUGAGAGUCUGUGCAGAACUUCUACAACAGUCAUUGAGUGGAGAAGAGCCAGUGGAUAUAGAAAUGUUGACUGUAAAUGGUCCUCUCACAUUUGUUGUGACAUCAAAAGGGAAUGAAAUUGUGACAAUUGAAAAGGUCCAUAACUCAGGCACCAAUUUUUCCUGAAUUAUGCCCCUUUUACUUAGAAUUAAAGGUGAUGUGGGUGAUGAUUAGGAAUAAUCAUUUUAAGUUUAAAGCAAAUCCAUCGAGUAAUUACAGAGAUGAGAAGGAAAAGAGAAAGUGUAAAAAAACUUGAACCAAGGUGCGGACAUGGAAGGACGCCGAAGCCAGGAUGAGUAGGGUAGCUCUCCAUAUAUUUCGUAUAGUCAAUCUAAAAAAGCAUUUUAAAACCUUAAAAAAGAAGUUUGUUCUCGACUUUGUGAGGAACAGCGUCUGAAUAAUCAAAAUUUUGUUGGGAAAACUCAUACCAAUAUCCACUGCAUCUGUGGAGAGGUGUUUCAGUCUUAUGAAAGAGCCAUGUACAGUGAACAGGGACAUGAUGACACAGGAAACACUACACACAUUGAUGCAAAUCUGCAGGGAAG
rnacentral:lncRNA from 1 species